rnacentral:rRNA from 1 species
CUUAGUGGCGAACGGGUGAGUAACGCGUGAGUAACCUGCCCUGGAGUGGGGGACGAACAGUUGGAAACGACUGCUAAUACCGCAUAAGCCCACGAUCCGGCAUCGGAUUGAGGGAAAAGGAUUUAUUCGCUUCAGGAUGGACCCGCGUCCAAUUAGCUAGUUGGUGAGGUAACGGCCCACCAAGGCGACGAUCGGUAGCCGGACUGAGAGGUUGAACGGCCACAUUGGGACUGAGACACGGCCCAGACUCCUACGGGAGGCAGCAUG